ensembl:lncRNA
CGAGAAAAGAUGCUCACUGAUCUGCCAUGGUGCGAUGUAACUGCACUUAUUCUUAUUGAUCUGCUGAAGGGAGAAACAACAAUAAAUGGUGCCUACUUCUACAUGCAGACCGCAUUUUACAACAACAGCUCCUGUGGGCUAAUUGCAUUGGAGGGUCUGAAGUAAUUCAAGUAUUACUGGGAGCACGGUGGGUGAAGAGCGUCGUAUUUCACAGCUGAGAAGGAAUAAAUUGACUCUAGGCUUGAGCCUUGAGGGUGGAAAACCAGGAGAAGCACACAGCAGCCAUUCCACUACAAACACCCUGUGACUGUAUUCUUUGGCAUGUGGAGCAUUGGAUGCCUUCACCUUACUCCAUAAGCGGUGGGGGCUGGAGACAGGAGGCUGUAUUCACAAGGAUCUGCUGACUUGGAUGAGCCCUUCUUCAGUGACUGAAAAGCCGCUAUCAGGUCUCCC